rnacentral:lncRNA from 1 species
UUGUAUUUUUCAGCAAGUCUUAGGUAUUAUUCGGCCCUUUAUGUUUUUGUAUACGUUUCUUUUCUUUUAGUAUAUUGGCACCCUCAUGGAAAAGAGUCACCAUUCACUUCACGUGUGACAGGGAAAUAGGAAGCGUUCCCGCAUGAAACCAGAAGUCAUAGCCUUGCUGGUUUUCAUGAGAGUCGUGGAUAAAGCAGUAAGAUUGCAUUAAGGAGCAAGAUUCAACAAGAGGGAUUUUGUGAGCAGAUGCCCCUUGGCUGGGCUUUUGGAAAGGAACAGUGAGUGAAUACAGCAGGAGCAAAAGAAGAACUCAGAGCAACGUGGCAUUCUGGGCUCUUUGUGAAGAUAAAUGGGAAAGGUUUUAGCAGCUGCUAAAACACACAUUUUAUUAGUCACACCACACAGUAUGGAACACUUUUUCUGAAUUAAUUUACAUUGCCAAGAAAUUGAAG